rnacentral:tRNA from 2 species
GCCGAAGUGGCGGAACUGGUAGACGCGCACGACUCAAACUCGUGUGUCUUCGGACGUGUGGGUUCGAUUCCCACCUUCGGUA